GCACUUCUGAAGAGUCUUGAAAUAAGACGAAACGGCCGUCAAGUGC
rnacentral:hammerhead_ribozyme from 1 species